CAGCCGCCGCGGUAAUACGGAGGGUGCGAGCGUUAUCCGGAUUCACUGGGUUUAAAGGGUGCGUAGGCGGGCAGGUAGGUCAGUGGUGAAAUCUUCGAGCUUAACUCGGAGACUGCCGUUGAUACUAUCUGUCUUGAAUAACGUUGAGGUGAGCGGAAUAUGUCAUGUAGCGGUGAAAUGCUUAGAUAUGACAUAGAACACCGAUUGCGAAGGCAGCUCACUAAACGCUCAUUGACGCUGAGGCACGAAAGCGUGGGGAUCAAACAGGAUUAGAGACCCCUGUAGUCCCUGUCUCUUAUAC
rnacentral:rRNA from 1 species